CCAAUAGCGUAUAUUAAAGUUGUUGCAGUUAAAAAGCUCGUAGUUGAAUUUCGGGAUUGGCGCAUCGGUCGUGCCUCACGGGGUAUGAACUGGUGCAGUCAAUUUCUCACCUUCUGGAGAACCGCGAUGUCCUUAAUUGGGUGCCGCGGGAAACCAGGACCUUUACUUUGAAAAAAUUAGAGUGUUUAAAGCAGGCAUUUUUGCUUGAAUACAUCAGAAUGGAAUAAUAAAAUAGGACGGCAUGGUUCUAUUUUGUUGGUUUCUAGGACCACCGUAAUGAUUAAUAGGGAUAGUUGGGGGCAUUAGUAUUCAAUUGUCAGAGGUGAAAUUCUUGGAUUUAUUGAAGACUAACUACUGCGAAAGCAUUUGCCAAGGAUGUUUUCAUUAAUCAAGAACGAAAGUUAGGGGAUCGAAGACGAUCAGAUACCGUCGUAGUCUUAACCAUAAACUAUGCCGACUAGGAAUCAGACGAUGUUAAUUUUUUAAUGACUCGUUUGGCACCUUACG
rnacentral:rRNA from 1 species